rnacentral:tRNA from 1 species
GUUUUGGUGGCAGACNGGGUAAAUGCAA